AACGAACGCUGGCGGCAUGCCUAACACAUGCAAGUCGAACGAGACCUUCGGGUCUAGUGGCGCACGGGUGCGUAACGCGUGGGAACCGGCCCUUAGGUUCGGAAUAACUCCCCGAAAGGGGUGCUAAUACCGGAUAAUGUCCUCGGAUCAACGAUUUAUCGCCUUUGGAUGGGCCGGCGUUCGAUUAGCUUGUUGGUAGGGUAAAAGCCUAUCAAGGCGACGAUCCAUAGCUGGUCUGAGAGGAUGAUCAGCCACACUGGGAGUGGGACACGGCCCAGACUCCUACGGAAGGCAGCAGUGGGGAAUAUUGGACAAUGGGCGGAAGCCUGAUCCAGCAAUGCCGCGUGAGUGAUGAAGGCCUUAGGGUUGUAAAGCUCUUUUACCCGGGAUGAUAAUGACAGUACCGGGAGAAUAAGCUCCGGCUAACUCCGU
rnacentral:rRNA from 1 species